GACGAACGCUGGCGGCGCGCUUAACACAUGCAAGUCGAACGGAAAGGCCUGCUUUCCCUUGUGGAUUGCGGGUACUCGAGUGGCGAACGGGUGAGUAACACGUGAGUGAUCUGCCCCCAACUUGGGUAUAAGCCUGGGAAACUGGGUCUAAUUCCCGAUAGGACUGCAGGGUGGUGCCUGUGGUGGAAAACGAUUUUCUAGUGGUUGGGGAUGAGCUCGCGGCCUAUCAGCUUGUUGGUGGGGUAAUGGCCUACCAAGGCGGCGACGGGUAGCCGGCCUGAGAGGGUGGACGGCCACAUUGGGACUGAGAUACGGCCCAGACUGCUACGGGAGGCAGCAGUGGGGAAUAUUGCACAAUGGGCGGAAGCCUGAUGCAGCGACGCCGCGUGGGGGAUGACGGCCUUCGGGUGGUAAACUCCUUUCGACCGCGAGGAAGCCACCUGGUUGGAAGGGUGGUGACGGUAGUGGUAGAAGAAGCACCGGCUAACUACGUG
rnacentral:rRNA from 1 species